rnacentral:tmRNA from 1 species
GGGGGCGUAAAGGUUUCGACGGGGAUUUUGAAGCACGGUAAGCGAGCAGAGGUGCGGGAGCUCUUAAAAACGCCGCAAUUUUAAAAAUAAACGCUAACAAAAAUUUAGCUUACGCUGCCUAAUUACGGCGGCCGUCAUACCCGGGAGUACUGCGGCCCGGGCUAUGGCGUGAAUCAGCAGUGAACGUGAACGAGCCAAAGCUUUGAGGCUUGUCAUGAUACUAUGAAGCUACCGGAGCGGACGGCCUGACUGCCGGCGGUUCGUUCGGGGAAUCUUAUAGACAGUCUACGCUCGUAGAAGGCUGUGUCGAUGAGUUUUCGGACAGGAGUUCGAUUCUCCUCGCCUCCACCA